rnacentral:rRNA from 1 species
GAUGAACGUUGGCGGCGUGCCUAAUACAUGCAAGUCGAACGAGGACUGUAGUAAUACUGUCUUAGUGGCGAACGGGUGAGUAACGCGUGGGUGACCUGCCCCGAAGUGUGGGAUAACAGUCCGAAAGGAUUGCUAAUACUGCAUAAUAUCCAAGAGAUUAGACGCUUUUGGAUUAAAGGAUUUAUUCGCUUCGAGAGGAGCCUGCGUCCCAUCAGCUGGUUGGUAGGGUAAAGGCCUACCAAGGCAAUGACGGGUAGGGGACCUGAGAGGGUCGGCCCCCCACAAUGGAACUGAAACACGGUCCAUACACCUACGGGUGGCAGCAGUAGGGAAUAUUAGAAAUGGACGAAAGUCUGAUCUAGCAACACCGCGUGUGCGAAGAAGGCCUUCGGGUCGUAAAGCACUUUUUGGAAGGAAUAGGAAGGAAUGUACUUCCAGAAUAAGUCUCGGCUAACUACGUG